rnacentral:rRNA from 1 species
CGACCGGCGCACGGGUGAGUAACACGUAUGCAACCUGGCCGUGACAGAUGGAUAACCGGGAGAAAUCCCGCCUAAUACAGCAUGACGCCGGGAAGGGACAUCCCUUUCCGGCCAAAGGGGGCGACUCCGGUCACGGAUGGGCAUGCGGCGCAUUAGGUAGUUGGUGGGGCAACGGCCCACCAAGCCGACGAUGCGUAGGGGUUCUGAGAGGAAGGUCCCCCACAUUGGAACUGAGACACGGUCCAAACUCCUACGGGAGGCAGCAG